UCCCGGCGGUCCAAGUCGCAUCCACAAUUAUUGGGUCUAAAACAUCCGUAGCUUGCUUUGUAAGUCUCUUGUGAAAUCUGACAUCUCAAAUGUCAGGCGUGCAAGAGAUACUGCAUUGCUAGAGACCGGAAGGCGCAAAGAGUACGAUUGAGGUAGUGGUAAAAUAUGUUAAUCUUGAUCGGACUAACAAUGGCGAAGGCACUUUGCGAGUACGGAUCUGACAGUGAGGGAUGAAGGCUAGGGGCGCAAAAGG
rnacentral:rRNA from 1 species